rnacentral:rRNA from 1 species
ACUACGGUGCUGAAGUAACAAAUGCCCUGCUUCCAGGAAAAGCCUCUAAGCAUCAGGUAACAUCAAAUCGUACCCCAAACCGACACAGGUGGUCAGGUAGAGAAUACCAAGGCGCUUGAGAGAACUCGGGUGAAGGAACUAGGCAAAAUGGUGCCGUAACUUCGGGAGAAGGCACGCUGGUGUGUAGGUGAAGUCCCUGCGGAUGGAGCUGAGACCAGUCGAAGAUACCAGCUGGCUGCAACUGUUUAUUAAAAACACAGCACUGUGCAAACACGAAAGUGGACGUAUACGGUGUGACGCCUGCCCGGUGCCGGAAGGUUAAUUGAUGGGGUUAUCCGUAAGGAGAAGCUCUUGAUCGAAGCCCCGGUAAACGGCGGCCGUAACUAUAACGGUCCUAAGGUAGCGAAAUUCCUUGUCGGGUAAGUUCCGACCUGCACGAAUGGCGUAAUGAUGGCCAGGCUGUCUCCACCCGAGACUCAGUGAAAUUGAACUCGCUGUGAAGAUGCAGUGUACCCGCGGCAAGACGGAAAGACCCCGUGAACCUUUACUAUAGCUUGACACUGAACAUUGAGCCUUGAUGUGUAGGAUAGGUGGGAGGCUUUGAAGCGUGGACGCCAGUCUGCGUGGAGCCAACCUUGAAAUACCACCCUUUAAUGUUUGAUGUUCUAACGUUGGCCCCUUACCGGGGUUGCGGACAGUGUCUGGUGGGUAGUUUGACUGGGGCGGUCUCCUCCCAAAGCGUAACGGAGGAGCACGAAGGUUAGCUAAUCCUGGUCGGACAUCAGGAGGUUAGUGCAAUGGCAUAAGCUAGCUUGACUGCGAGCGUGACGGCGCGAGCAGGUGCGAAAGCAGGUCAUAGUGAUCCGGUGGUUCUGAAUGGAAGGGCCAUCGCUCAACGGAUAAAAGGUACUCCGGGGAUAACAGGCUGAUACCGCCCAAGAGUUCAUAUCGACGGCGGUGUUUGGCACCUCGAUGUCGGCUCAUCACAUCCUGGGGCUGAAGUAGGUCCCAAGGGUAUGGCUGUUCGCCAUUUAAAGUGGUACGCGAGCUGGGUUUAGAACGUCGUGAGACAGUUCGGUCCCUAUCUGCCGUGGGCGCUGGAGAAUUGAGGGGGGCUGCUCCUAGUACGAGAGGACCGGAGUGGACGCAUCACUGGUGUUCGGGUUGUCAUGCCAAUGGCACUGCCCGGUAGCUAAAUGCGGAAGAGAUAAGUGCUGAAAGCAUCUAAGCACGAAACUUGCCCCGAGAUGAGUUCUCCCUGAGACUUUAAGUCUCCUGAAGGAACGUUAAAGACGAUGACGUUGAUAGGCCGGGUGUGUAAGCGCAGCGAUGCGUUGAGCUAACCGGUACUAAUGAACCGUGAGGCUUAACC